rnacentral:rRNA from 1 species
UACAGAGGGUGCGAGCGUUAAUCGGAAUUACUGGGCGUAAAGCGCGCGUAGGCGGCUUUGCAAGUCGAGUGUGAAAUCCCCAGGCUUAACCUGGGAACUGCAUUCGAGACUGCAUAGCUAGAGUAUGGGAGAGGGAAGUGGAAUUUCAGGUGUAGCGGUGAAAUGCGUAGAUAUCUGAAGGAACAUCAGUGGCGAAAGCGACUUCCUGGACCAGUACCGACGUUCAGGCACGAAAGCGUGGGGAGCAAACAGG